UAUUUUAGUUAUAUCUAACAUUGGCUACGAUGACUGAUGUUAAACAGUCAUUUCCUGUUUGCAACUGCUGUGUUCCUGCUGGGGGACCUGAAAGCAAUACAGGGACCAGACAUCACAACGUUUCUUCACUAUGACAUUGCAUGCCAGCUGAAGCCUCAUUUACAGUUCCGAUCUGGUGGAUUACACAUUUGCAGUGCCAGCCUUUCAUGCCUACGCUCAUGAUGCUGACAGUCAGGUCACUGAUGGUACCAGGUAUGUGACUGUGAGCUUGCUGACGGAGAACAAAUGGAGGAGUGGUGGUCCUACCUUCGAAAAUUUGGGAAGAUCAAAAAAAAGAGGACACCUUCUCAUCGUGUUGAUUCUAUAACAAUUGUCAGAAUAAUUUUAGCACUUUAGGCAAUAACAACAGGAAUGGAAAACUGAAAAUCAGUGUUUAGCCCGGCGGCUGUCAAUCAAAGCGGCACGGUGACUCGACUACUAGGUGGCUAGACUAGCAGUACGAGUACAUAAUAACCCAGUUACGUAACUUAGCAUGGCGGUUACUCCGCAACAAACGUUUCUCUCAAUUUAAUUUCCCCGGUCUCAAAAUCGUGGAACGUCAACUCUGGUUCAUAUGUUUUCUCAAUACCACAUUCAUUCGUAUGAAAUUCACAUUAAAUUUCCA